CGCCCAUACAGUCACGUCCACUUUUUCAUUCCAGAGACAAAAUCAUGGAUUAGACAUACUCAUGCAGCAUAGCAUGCACUAUCCCACCUAGCACUUUCGUCCCAUACUUGUAGAACACAUAACACAGCUUUUCACCUGGCUUAAAGAAUCUCAUUGGAACACGACAUAGCUCAACCUGUGUCACAAAAUUUCUCCUAAGUUUUGCUUAUUUUUGCC